rnacentral:lncRNA from 1 species
UGAAUUUGCAACAGAGGAGGAAAAAAGAACCAAAACUUCCAAGGCCCUGCUUUUUUGCUUAAAAGUACUUUUAAAAAGGAAAAUUUGUUUGUAUUUUUUAUUUAUAUUUUAUAUUUUUGUACAUAUUGUUAGGGGUCAGCAUUUUUUUAAUGAUCUCUGAUAACCAAACCAGCCUUUGGAGCGUUCUCUGUCCUAUUUCUGACUUUACUUGUGGUGUGACCAUGUUCAUUAUAAUCUCAAAGGAGAAAAAUAACAUUGUAAAAAAAGCAACAACAACAACCACCAAAAAAUCUUAUUCUGGGCAUUCCAGUAACUUUUUUUUGUGUAUGUACUUUAGCUGUACUACAAGUAGUUGGUUUGUAUGAGAUGGUUAAAAAGGCGAAAGAUAAAAAGGUUUCUUUUUUUUUUUCUUUUUUUUCUAUGAAGUUGCUGUUUAUUUUUUGGCCUGUUUGAUGUAUGUGUGAAACAAUGUUGUCCAACAAUAGUUGUUCUAACAACA